rnacentral:rRNA from 1 species
GAUACUAAUACCGGAUAACAACAGAUGAUGCCUAUCAACUGUUUAAAAGAUGGUUCUGCUAUCACUCUUGGAUGGACCUGCGGUGCAUUAGCUAGUUGGUAGGGUAACGGCCUACCAAGGCGAUGAUGCAUAGCCGAGUUGAGAGACUGAUCGGCCACAUUGGGACUGAGACACGGCCCAAACUCCUACGGGAGGCAGCAGAC